AGUCCCGCAACGAGCGCAACCCUUUUCCUUAUUUGCCAGCGGGUUAAGCCGGGAACUUUAAGGAUACUGCCAGUGACAAACUGGAGGAAGGCGGGGACGACGUCAAGUCAUCAUGGCCCUUACGCCCAGGGAUGCAAACGUGCUACAAUGGCGUGUACAAAGCGAUGCAAUAUCGUGAGAUGGAGCAAAUCGCAAAAAGCACGCCUCAGUUCGGAUUGGAGUCUGCAACUCGACUCCAUGAAGCUGGAAUCGCUAGUAAUCGGAGAUCAGCUACGCUCCGGUGAAUACGUUCCUGAGCCUUGUACACACCGCCCGUCAA
rnacentral:rRNA from 1 species